rnacentral:rRNA from 1 species
ACGGGAGGCAGCAGUGGGGAAUAUUGCACAAUGGGCGAAAGCCUGAUGCAGCGACGCCGCGUGAACGAUGAAGUAUUUCGGUAUGUAAAGUUCUAUCAGCAGGGAAGAUAAUGACGGUACCUGACUAAGAAGCACCGGCUAAAUACGUGCCAGCAGCCGCGGUAAUACGUAUGGUGCAAGCGUUAUCCGGAUUUACUGGGUGUAAAGGGAGCGUAGGCGGCUUUGCAAGUCUGAUGUGAAAGCCCGGGGCUCAACUCCGGUAUUGCAUUGGAAACUGUAGAGCUAGAGUGUCGGAGGGGUAAGUGGAAUUCCUAGUGUAGCGGUGAAAUGUGUAGAUAUUAGGAGGAACACCAGUGGCGAAGGCGGCUUACUGGACGAUUACUGACGCUGAGGCUCGAAAGCGUGGGGAGCAAACAGGAUUAGAUACCCUGGUA